UACAGAGGGGGGCAAGCGUUGUUUCGGAAUUACUGGGCGUAAAGGGCUCGAUAGGCGGCCAACUAAGUCAGACGUGAAAUCCCGUCGGCUUAACCGGGGAACUGCGUCUGAUACUGGAUGGCUUGAGUUUGGGAGAGGGAUGCGGAAUUCCAGGUGUAGCGGUGAAAUGCGUAGAUAUCUGGAGGAACACCGGUGGCGAAGGCGGCAUCCUGGACCAACACUGACGCUGAGUGAGCGAAAGCCAGGGGAGCAAACGGG
rnacentral:rRNA from 1 species